rnacentral:rRNA from 1 species
CCGGACCGGCGCACGGGUGAGUAACGCGUAUGCAACUUACCUAUCAGAGGGGGAUAACCCGGCGAAAGUCGGACUAAUACCGCAUGAAGCAGGGGCCCCGCAUGGGGAUAUUUGCUAAAGAUUCAUCGCUGAUAGAUAGGCAUGCGUUCCAUUAGGCAGUUGGCGGGGUAACGGCCCACCAAACCGACGAUGGAUAGGGGUUCUGAGAGGAAGGUCCCCCACAUUGGUACUGAGACACGGACCAA